rnacentral:rRNA from 1 species
GUGAGGAAUAUUGCGCAAUGGAGGCAACUCUGACGCAGCCAUGCCGCGUGCAGGAAGAAGGCGCUACGCGUUGUAAACUGCUUUUAACCGGGAAGAAACCCCAGGACGUGUCCUGGGUUGACGGUACCGGAGGAAUAAGCACCGGCUAACUUCGUGCCAGCAGCCGCGGUAAUACGAAGGGUGCAAGCGUUAUCCGGAUUCAUUGGGUUUAAAUGGUGCGUAGGCGGAGCGUUAAGUCAGUGGUGAAAUCCUGCAGCUUAACUGUAGAAUUGCCAUUGAGACUGGCGCUCUUGAGUGCGGUUGAAGUGGGCGGAAUGUGCCGUGUAGCGGUGAAAUGCUUAGAUAUGGCACAGAACACCAAUUGCGAAGGCAGCUCACUAAGGCGAUACUGACGCUGAGGCACGAAAGCGUGGGGAUCGAACAGGAUUAGAAACCCUGGUAGUCC